rnacentral:rRNA from 1 species
UGGAUCCAGACUUUGAUUAUGGCUCAGGAUGAACGCUAGCUACAGGCUUAACACAUGCAAGUCGAGGGGAAACGAUAUUGGAAGCUUGCUUCCGAUAGGCGUCGACCGGCGCACGGGUGAGUAACGCGUAUCCAACCUGCCCAUCACUUGGGGAUAACCUUGCGAAAGUAAGACUAAUACCCAAUGACGUCUCUAGAAGACAUCUGAAGGAGAUUAAAGAUUUAUCGGUGAUGGAUGGGGAUGCGUCUGAUUAGCUUGUUGGCGGGGUAACGGCCCACCAAGGCGACGAUCAGUAGGGGUUCUGAGAGGAAGGUCCCCCACAUUGGAACUGAGACACGGUCCAAACUCCUACGGGAGGCAGCAGUGAGGAAUAUUGGUCAAU